GCCAGCCCGCUCAGAACUUAAAGGAAUUGACGGGGGCCCGCACAAGCGGUGGAGUAUGUGGUUUAAUUCGAUGCAACGCGAAGAACCUUACCUAGGUUUGACAUCCGGAAGACCUUCCCGAAAAGGAAGGGUGCCCUUCGGGGAAUUCCGAGACAGGUGCUGCAUGGCUGUCGUCAGCUCGUGCCGUGAGGUGUGGGUUAAGUCCCGCAACGAGCGCAACCCUAUUGCCAGUUGCUACCAGGUAAUGCUGGGCACUCUGGUGAGACUGCCCCGGUUAACGGGGAGGAAGGUGGGGACGACGUCAAGUCAUCAUGGCCCUUACGCCUAGGGCUACACACGUACUACAAUGGCGCAUACAAAGGGCAGCGAUACCGCGAGGUGGAGCCAAUCCCAAAAAGUGCGUCCCAGUCCGGAUUGCAGUCUGCAACUCGACUGCAUGAAGUUGGAAUCGCUAGUAAUUCGAGAUCAGCAUGCUCGGGUGAAUGCGUUCCCGGGCCUU
rnacentral:rRNA from 1 species